rnacentral:rRNA from 1 species
AGCUCCAAUAGCGUAUAUUAAAGUUGUUGCGGUUAAAAGCUCGUAGUUGGAUUUCUGUCGAGAACGGCCGGUCCACACUUUGUGUGAGUAUCUGGUUCGGUCUCGGCAUCCUCAUGGGGAACGUUUCUGCGCUUGAUUGCGUGGGGCGGAAUUCAUGACUUUUACUUUGAGGAAAUUAGAGUGUUCACGGCAGGCAAACGCCUUGAAUACAUUAGCAUGGAAUAAUAAUAUAGGAUCUCGGUUCUAUUUUGUUGGUUUCUAGAGCUGAGAUAAUGAUUAAUAGGGAUAAUUGGGGGCAUUCGUAU